GAUGAACGCUGGCGGCGUGCCUAAUACAUGCAAGUCGAGCGAACAGACGAUGAGCUUGCUCCUCUGACGUUUGCGGCGGACGGGUGAGUAACGCGUGGAUAACCUACCUAUAAGUCUGGGAUAACUUCGGGAAACCGGCGCUAAUCCCGGAUAAUAUCUUGAUCCGCAUGGUUGAAUAGUGAAAGACGGCUUUGCUGUCUCUUCUAGAUGGUUCCGAGCCGCAUUGGCGAGUUGGUAAGGUAACGGCUUAUCAAGGCUACGAUGCGUAUCCGACCGGCUAGGGUGAUCGGCCACACUGGAACUGAGACACGGUCCAGACGCCUACGGGAGGCAGCAGUAGGGAAUGGUCCGCAAUGGGCGAAAGCCUGACGGAGCAACGCCGCGUGAGUGAUGAAGGUCUUCGGAUCGUAAAACUCUGUUAUGAGGGAAGAACAAAUGUGUAAGUAACUAUGCACGUCUUGACGGUACCUAAUCAGAAAGCCACGGCUAACUACGUG
rnacentral:rRNA from 1 species